rnacentral:lncRNA from 10 species
AAGCUGCCUUCCCUGGGUGUGUCCAUUGAUGAGACAGCAGGGAAGGAGGGAAAGGUUCCUGCUUCUGCUGUGUUACAAUCUCGUCAGGUGUAGCAGAUUGCACACCAAGGAGGCAGUGAUCCUGCCCUGCAAGAAGGCAUAAGGAGAGUCAGAAGCUAUAAUAAGAGAGGUAAAUUGAGAUGGUGGCUGAAAAGUUGGAUGCAAUGGAAAGAAAGCAACAAAUAGAUUUUAAAUGGAACAUGAGAUCAGCAUUGAGGAGUGGUCCAGGGGCAAGGGGGAUAACAAAUGGCAGGAGGUUAACCCAGGAGGCUGGAAGAACAGUCCAGAGUCUACUACAUUAGACCAGACAUGUUCAUAAAUAGGCAGCUAACUAAGGCAUUGGCGAGCCUAAAUGGUGAGAGAUAGAAAGGAGGGAGAUCUAGGAGGUGGGACCGAAUGUGGGAGAGGCUCCAGGCAUGGACCCAGCACUGGAAGGGCCUUCUUUGUGCUCUCUCUUGCUCUCCUAGCCAAGCUUGUCCUCGGAGUUACCAGUGUCAUCCCAGUAGGGUCCUGGGGCCUCCUCACACAGCGCCACCUCUGACUACUGUUAAGAGUCUUGAGAGUCAGUAGGACGGUGAUGAAGCCUCACCUGAAGCUUCUUCUGGGCUCAGUCCUUGUCCUGGAGCCGCUGCCUGCUAUGCAUGGCUGUGAGGCUGACCCCAAGUGGUGGUGGUUAUUUUAAGUAAUUCACGUUGGAGGGAGGAAGUGACUGAGGAAAAUGUGAAAAUGAGUAGCUAUUGCAAGAUGUGUGUGAUAAAUGAAACAGGGAACAUAAAGACAGAUGAAGAGGCACAUCUGUUAUUUUUGCUCCUUUUUAUAGCAACCUCUAAGUUUGACUUUUCACACUAAGUAGGAACCCUUUAGUUCCUGAGCAAUUUCCUGACCCAGUCCCUCAUUAGCUCAGUGGGAGCAGAGGAGGAUGGAGGGGGCCAGGGCCCUGAGAGCCAAUGUGAGUCCCUAGAAAAGAGUCCCCCACCCCAGUCCUCCAGGUUCCCCAAGUGUGGCAGGAAUUGGAGGCUUUGUGCAGACGAGGUUUGGUGGGCUGAGAAUCCCAGCUCUUCUCUGGCUUCUGCUUCUCCUCCCUUUACUGAAGGAUGGUGUGGCUGACCUCAGUCAGUCCCUAAACCCAAGACAUCCGUACUCAGGCUGUUCCUAGCAAAGCAGCCUGGUUGCAAAGGAGAUGCUUUCUGUAAGAAUAUGGACACUUUCUUUUUAACAUGGGACAAUACUGGCAUUCUCUCCUGAGUCAUUUUUCCUCUUUUUGGAGGUGGACAGUAUGCCCGGUGCUCAUGUGCUAGUAGGGCCUGAGCAUGGGGACUGGCUGAAGUCACAGAGGAGCAGGGGUGAUGGUGUCACAUGAUUCUGGGCUUUUUUCAGGGGGAACUGUUCUGCAUUUGGAGGUCCAUCUGCUGCUGUGAAGGUUUGAGGGCUGCUAGGGGCAGGGGACCACUGUCCCUGAAAUAACCCCAAGUUAGUCUGCUUGGGCCCUUUGAUUCCCCGAGGUGCCUCCUUUGGAGUGGAGCACCGAAGGCUCUGGUUAAAAGCAGAUUAUCGUGGGAGAGUGUAUAGAUUAAGCUGUUUAGUUAUUCACACCUCAGCUCUCAUCAGUUUGUUUCUGUUGAUUGUAUGUUCAGCUCUGUGCUAAGUCUCACCGUGUGGUUCAGGGGGAAGAGAAGGCCCACUCUUGCCAGGGAGGAAGUCACCCCCUGGGUGGAGCUGGAGCAGCUUCAGAGGAAUGAAAGGGAUGUCUGAAGGCUGAUGAGAGGGAGGAUGGAGGCAAGACUGCCUGCCAAGAGCAAGGGGUGGGAAGAGCGAUUCAGGAAAGUGAUUGAAUACUUGGAAUAAUUGCCAUGUGGCAUGCAAAAGAGAGGAAAAUGGCUUUUUCUAGGAGUGUGGGGGGCUUGGUUGGGCUGGAAGCCAGGAGUCUGCAGAGCUGCCUGUCAGCUCAAUUAUGUUAUUUUCUCCAGUAGUGGGGACAGCUUGGAAGCAGAAGUGGAUGACGAAGUCAUCACUGACUGUGGAUUGGCCAGGAAGCAG